CUAAAAAUUAAGCCUAUUAAUCCUUUAUAAAAACCACACUCAACUAAACCACAAUAAAACAUUUUAUCAGUUUAGUAAAGGCGAUUAAAAAACUUUCUAGCGCUUUACUUUUAGUACCGCAAGGGAAAAAUGAAAUAGUUUUGAAAUAGUCUUUAAGCAAAAAACAGCAGAGAUUAUUACUCGUACCUUUUGCAUCAUGGUUUAGCCAGUCUUGUUCAAGCAAAGCGAAACAUCAGUUUGACCCCCCGAAACUAGGCGAGCUACUUUAAAACAGCUUAAUAGAGCCAACCCGUCUCUGUCGCAAAAGAGUGGGAUGAUUUUUAAGUAGAGGUGAAAAGCCUACCGAGCUUAGAGAUAGCUGGUUAUUCAGGAAAAGAAUUUUAGUUCGACCUUAAGUUUUUUUAUUAUUUUAAAAACCCCCCCUUAAACUUAAGAGCUAUUCAAAUAAGGCACAGCUUAUUUGAAAAAGGAUACAACCUAUUAAAAAGGGUAAAAAAAUUUAUACAUGACAAGUGGGCCUAGAAGCAGCCACCUUUAAGAAAGCGUUUAAGCUCCUCUUUCCCCCCUCACCUUAAUUCCUAAAUAUCCAUUUAACCCUUUAUUUGUACUGAAUGAUUCUAUACCAUAUAGAAAUCCCCCUGCUAAAACUAGUAACAAGAAAUUGAUUUUCUCCAAAAUAUAUGUAUAAACCAAAAUGGACAAACCAUUGGUUAUUAACGUCAAUAAAAAAAUAUAGCAACUUCACUAGAAAACACUAUUAACCCAUACGUUAACCUUACACAAGUAUAUUUCUGGAAAGAUUAAAAGAAAGAGAAGGAACUCGGCAAAUCAUAACCCCGCCUGUUUACCAAAAACAUCGCCUCUUGAAUAAUCAUAAGAGGUCCAGCCUGCCCAGUGAUAUAAUUUAACGGCCGCGGUACCCUGACCGUGCAAAGGUAGCAUAAUCACUUGUUCUCUAAAUAAGGACUAGUAUCAACGGCAUCACGAGGGUUAUACUGUCUCCUCUUUUUAAUCAGUGAAAUUGACCUCUCCGUGAAGAGGCGGGGAUAGUUAUACAAGACGAGAAGACCCCAUGGAGCUUUAAACCCAAUGACAGCCCACACAAGUUUUACCUUAAAAUGAAAAAGCAAUGUUUAUUGGUUUUAGGUUGGGGUGACCACGGAGAAAAACCAAACCUCCACGAUGAAUGGACCUUAAUUCUAAUCUACGAGAUACUACUCCAAGAAUCAAUAAUUUGACAUAAUAUGAUCCGACAACGAUCAACGAACCAAGUUACCCUGGGGAUAACAGCGCAAUCCAUUUCAAGAGCCCCUAUCGACAAAUGGGUUUACGACCUCGAUGUUGGAUCAGGGUAUCCCAGUGGUGCAGCCGCUACUAAAGGUUUGUUUGUUCAACAAUUAAAAC
rnacentral:rRNA from 1 species